ACAUUGUUCCAUAGAUGAGAACAAGACACAGAGAGGGGCGCCGAGACCCCCACAAGUAUAGAGAACAACCUGACAGAACAUGUUCUGAAGCUGACGUUGUCAGGACUGAGUUUGGCCAGGGUGAUCCAGACCCUCCUCUUGGCUGCCUUCAGAUCAAGACGUUAAACACUCAGAUCCUUCUAGAGCACCAGCCUGCCUCAACGCUCCCAUGCUCCUGCCAUGAUGAUAAUGUACUGAGCCUUUGAAAUGGUAAGCCACCUCUAAUUAAAUGUUGACCCUUAUAAAAGUUGCUUUGGUCAUGAGUCUCUUCACAGCAAUAA
rnacentral:lncRNA from 1 species